rnacentral:rRNA from 1 species
GCCUGGGGAUCUGCCCGAUAGAGGGGGAUAACUACGGGAAACUGUAGCUAAUACCGCAUAAUGUCUACGGACCAAAGUGGGGGCUCUUCGGACCUCAUGCUAUCGGAUGAACCCAGGUGGGAUUAGCUAGUUGGUGAGGUAAUGGCUCACCAAGGCGACGAUCUCUAACUGGUUUGAGAGAAUGACCAGUCACACUGGAACUGAGACACGGUCCAGACUCCUACGGGAGGCAGCAGUGGGGAAUAUUGCACAAUGGGCGCAAGCCUGAUGCAGCCAUGCCGCGUGUGUGAAGAAGGCCUUCGGGUUGUAAAGCACUUUCAGCGGGGAGGAAGGGUCACUAGUUAAUACCUAGUGGCAUUGACGUUACUCGCAGAAGAAGCACCGGCUAACUCCGUGCCAGCAGCCGCGGUAAUACGGAGGGUGCAAGCGUUAAUCGGAAUUACUGGGCGUAAAGCGCACGCAGGCGGUUUGUUAAGUCAGAUGUGAAAUCCCCGAGCUCAACUUGGGAACUGCAUUUGAAACUGGCAAGCUAGAGUCUUGUAGAGGGGGGUAGAAUUCCAGGUGUAGCGGUGAAAUGCGUAGAGAUCUGGA